UCCGCAGUAGCUCAGCGGUAGAGCUAUCGGCUGUUAACCGAUCGGUCGUAGGUUCGAGUCCUACCUGCGGAG
rnacentral:tRNA from 1 species